UACGUAGGGUGCAAGCGUUGUCCGGAAUUAUUGGGCGUAAAGAGCUCGUAGGCGGUUUGUCGCGUCGGCUGUGAAAACCCGAGGCUCAACCUCGGGCCUGCAGUCGAUACGGGCAAACUAGAGUGCGGUAGGGGAGACGUGGAAUUCCUGGUGUAGCGGUGAAAUGCGCAGAUAUCAGGAGGAACACCGGCGGCGAAGGCGGGUCUCUGGGCCGUAACUGACGCUGAGGAGCGAAAGCGUGGGGAGCGAACAGG
rnacentral:rRNA from 1 species